GACGAUGCUUUUAUUUUUAGCAUGAGAACCUAUAAUUCUAAGGAAUACAGUAUGCACUGGUGUAGGUGAACGUAAUGUUGAAAGAUCUUCCAGUGGAGGAAUUUGGUCCUGCAAUUAACAUCAGAUAGUACUCUCUUUUUAACAAUCCAUUAUUACCCCAACAAGUAAAAGAGUCGUGGCUUGAUGUUCAGCUUUGUCAAGAAGGAAGUAAAGAUUGCCAUGCAUCAAGCAACACAAGUCAACCGGAUCUUUUAAGAUUUCCUAAACGCAGCAGUGAAGAAACGUUGAAGACGGU